UUAUAAAGUUUGGAAAUAGGUGUAAAGCAUAGUUUGCUUGCUUAAAAGGGAAGUCGAUGAAAUUUCGACACGGACCCGCCACUGUGAAUGGAGUAUAGGAGCUUUAAAUAGACCACUGAACAAAAGUUCGGGAAGGUAAAAGGCUCUUUUCCUAAGUCAGGAGACCUGCCUGUUUUAACAUCGCUGU
rnacentral:ncRNA from 2 species